rnacentral:lncRNA from 1 species
CCUGCACCACGUCCGGGACGGCAUCGACAUCCUGCUGGGUGAGGUUGUAAGCCCUGCCCUGGAUAGGAGGUCUUCCCUGAUUCUGGUUCCUUGGGAACUCUCUCGCAUAGUGUUGGGCACUACCACAUAUGCGACAAGUGUUGUUGAGGCGGUAGCAUGGUCGGUCCCCGUGAUCCCUGCCACAAUGCUGACAGAUCUUACCAUGUCCUGCCACUAGAGCCUGAGGGGGAGCUUGGAUCACCGGUCUGGACCUCUUGUUCUAUUGGACAGGCGCAGCAGGUGCUGGUAUGUGGGGUGGAGCUGAGGGCCUGUGGUUCUCUGCUGACUGAGGGAGGGUGUGGAGGCUCCUCUCCACUAACUGUGUCUUGGCCAAAACGACCGAGUAUGUCCUGAGCUCCAGUACAAAUAAAUGCUGCUUGAUCUCUGGGCGGAGGCCCCACUGGAACCUCCUAGCCUUUCUGCCCUCAUCCAUCAACGUCUCAAGGGAGUAUCGGGCCAAAACUCCAAGAACUUACGAGCAUAUUCUGACACCGU